rnacentral:rRNA from 1 species
GUGUCAUUAAUAUAUAUAUCAACCCUCUUUUGUUGAGUGGUUUGGAUGUGAGGGUUUGCUGGAUUAUUUAAAAAGUUCAGCUCCCUUGAAAUGCAUUAGCAGAACAAAACCCUCUUCAUUGGUGUGAUAACUAUCUACACUGUUGAAUGCAAGGGCCAGUUUAGCUUUCUAACGGUCCUUCUUGGACAAUUUAUCAUUUAUGUGACCUCAAAUCAGGUAGGACUA